rnacentral:lncRNA from 1 species
UCUAUAGCAUCUCACCUCCAGCAAGGAAGAUGUGAAAGAAACUAGGCUUGUGGGCACUGUACUACUGCAAUGAAAUCGUUUAUCUUAUUCUUGACUGGACUCAAAAAAUUUCUGACCUGGGUACACGUCUUCAGAGCUUCUUGGUCCUCCAGUUUGAGUGAUAGGUCUAGUUCUGAUAAUGGUGAUAAUGUUGAUAAGGAUAAGAAGCCAGAGCAGCAAUUCUCUAUUCCUCGUCCCUGAGGUUCUCAUAAUUAUAGUUCAUCCCUAACACGCCAUCAUCAUCACCAUCCUAAAGCACUCUGAUUAUAUGUUCAUAAAUAACUAUAAGGUUGUCUUCAAAAUCAAUUACAGAAACCUCAGUACAAAGUACCCAAAUGACACUAACCUUAACCGCCUUAGCAAGACUGGGUGUGCCAUCCCUUAUUUCUCAAAUUGGAUAAUACUCUGAAUAUUGAACAGACAGAAUUCCAAAUCAAUCCCCAUAUUCAUCUCCCUCUCCCCAUAUAUGCUGCAGUAACAACUACUGGGAAAUUCUGUCAAAGCAAUUGGCUAUAGCAGAGUUUACUAAUGAAUAAGACGCCAAAUAGGUUGGUUAAAUGUCACCUUCAUCAUAGUAAACACAUUUUUUUGCUGUUUGUUGUGCUGAGUUAUCUGAUUCUCAAUAAUGCCCAUGCUGCUUUUGCCACGUCAAGACCAAGUGCAGCACGCAGCUUAUAGGUUGGUGCCUCACUAACUUGGAAGUCAUGCUCAAUUAUCAGUCAGCCUCCCACUAUCACUCCCCUGGGAGAUGUUAUCAAAGUUACUGAUAGCUAUGUACAUAUAAGCAAUACCUCACCUGUCACUGAGGACUCAUCUGAACCUGAUGCCAUUUUUCGCUGGUACAAAAGUGAAGUGAUGAAGAAAGAAGAGUUUUCUGAGGCAUAUUAAGAUAUAAAAGCUCUAGGAAGGUUUUUGAGAUGGCUGAAGCCCAUAGAACUAAGAGAAGAUGAGGAUCUGUCAUUUAACUUGUCUUCUACUAGCUUUGAUACUCCAUUGUCUUGAAUGAGUCAUAUAUCCAUUCUCUUAA